AGGUGCGGUGGCACGUGCCUGUAGUCCCAGCUACUCGGAAGGCUGAGGUGGGAGGAUCACGUGAGCCCAGGAGUCCUGGGCUGUAGUGCACUAUGCAGAUCGGGUGUCCGCACUAAGUUCAGCAUCAAUAUGGUGACCUCCCGGGAGCAAGGGACCACCAGGUUGCCUAAGGAGGGGUGAACUGGCCCAGGUCAGAAGCGGAGCAGGUCGAAACUCCAGCGCUGAUCGGUAGUGGGAACGCACCUGUGAAUAGCCACUGCACUGCAGCCUGGGCAACAUAGCGAGACCCCAUCUCUU
ensembl:misc_RNA Metazoa_SRP Metazoan signal recognition particle RNA